rnacentral:rRNA from 1 species
GACGAACGCUGGCGGCGUGCUUAACACAUGCUAGUCGAACGGUGAAAGCGGAGCUUGCUCCGCUGGAUCAGUGGCGAACGGGUGAGUAACACGUGGGCAACCUGCCCCUCACUUCGGGAUAACUCCGGGAAACCGGGGCUAAUACCGGAUAUGACCUCCUUGGGCAUCCUUGGAGGUGGAAAGUUUUUCGGUGAGGGAUGGGCCCGCGGCCUAUCAGCUUGUUGGUGAGGUAGUGGCUCACCAAGGCGACGACGGGUAGCCGGCCUGAGAGGGCGACCGGCCACACUGGGACUGAGACACGGCCCAGACUCCUACGGGAGGCAGCAGUGGGGAAUAUUGCGCAAUGGGCGAAAGCCUGAUGCAGCAACGCCGCGUGAGGGAUGACGGCCUUCGGGUUGUAAACCUCUUUUAGUACCGACGAAGCGCAAGUGACGGUAGGUGCAGAAGAAGGACCGGCCAGCUACGUGCCAGCCGCCGCCGUAAAAC